ACGGAGGGAGCUAGCGUUGUUCGGAAUUACUGGGCGUAAAGCGCGCGUAGGCGGCUCAGCAAGUCAGGGGUGAAAUCCCGGGGCUCAACCCCGGAACUGCCUUUGAAACUGCUAGGCUAGAAUCCUGGAGAGGCGAGUGGAAUUCCGAGUGUAGAGGUGAAAUUCGUAGAUAUUCGGAAGAACACCAGUGGCGAAGGCGACUCGCUGGACAGGUAUUGACGCUGAGGUGCGAAAGCGUGGGGAGCAAACAG
rnacentral:rRNA from 1 species